GUCCAAGUAAAGGACAAGAUACUGCUGAGAAAUAUAUUACAUAAUUACAGAAGCCCUCAUUCAAACCUUGUUGUGAAAAUGUAUAAGGUCUAUAGAUCCAAUAUGAUUCCCUUUGUCGCAAUAUGUGGUUGGGGUACUGAUUUGAUGCCCAGAAACCUGAUUUUAUUCCCAGAGUUUGCAUGGUGUAAUUUCAGAUAGCGUGAGAUUGGUGGCUCUGAUGGAAUUAACAUGUUCCCUUAUUCGUAGUUUCAAUUAAAAAGAAAUCCAAAGCCUUAAAAAUUCAAUCAAGAAGUGGAAAAUUCAGGGAUCUCUUGAGACCAAGGUCAGGUAGACCAAGAAAGAUUUCAGAGACAACUGCCAAAAGAAUUGUUCGGGAUACAAAGAAAACCCCACAGGUAACCUCAGGAAAAAUAGACUGCUCUGGAAAUGAGUAUGACGAUACUUGAACAAAAAAAUGAGCUGCAUGGUCGCAUUGCCAAAAAGAAGCCUUAACUGCGCCAAUGCCCCAAGAAUCCUGGUUACCAUAUGCCAGACAACACCUUGACACGCCUUACAGCUUGUGGUACACUUAAAGAGAUACUCCAGGCACCCAGACCACUUCUGCCUUUUGGAGUGGUCUGGGUGCCAACUCCCAUUACCCUUAACCCUGCAAGUGCAAUUAUUACAGUUUUCAUAAACUGCAAUAUUUAUCUUGCAGGGUUAAGUCCUCCUCUAGUGGCUGUCUACUAGACAGUCACUAGAGGACACUUCCAUGUUUAUAGAACAUGAUGGUUUAAAAUGACGCUGGA